UUAAUUAGUCUCUGCACUGGAAACCUCACCCAGCCUGGACAUGGAAAGGAUUGACAGGUUGUGAGCUGUUUCUUGGUGUUGUGAGUAGUGGUAUAUGAGCAUUCUUAGUUGGUGGAGAGAUUUGUCUGGUUAAUUCUUAAUGUGAAAUAGACUCUGGCAUGCUAAUCAGUUACUUCUGUCUUACUCUUGUCUAUAAAAGCAGAUUUCAGUUGGAAUUCAGCAGCUUGGCCCACUCCAAAUGCUUGAUGCCUUGGGUGCC
rnacentral:ncRNA from 1 species